CAUGGGCCUAGCUGUGAUUUAAAAUUCUCAUCUUCUGGGCCCUAUUCUGCCUGAUAUCUGAUGGCAUCACAACCCCAGAGAGCACUUCUUAGCUUUCUGCUUCUUGGAAAUGACCAUUCUAAAGGCGUCCAUGCUUUUGGAAAGUGUGGAAGACAUUAAAAGCAGUCUGUGAACUUGGCCAGUCUGCUUAGCAAGUCAACUUGAAAAAAAUCACAGCCACUUAAGAAGGUGGGCCUGAUUCUCUAAGAAACUGCAGCCAUCUGAGGAUAUAGGCCACUUUAUGCAAUGAUACUGUUCUGCUCUUCGUUUCUCAUGAGGAGGGGCCCAAGAAGGAUAUUCCCAAUUGGUAAGACUGAUGUGUGCAGUAAGAAAAAACCAACCACUAAAUCAGGGUUGGAAGUGAGAAGAACUAAAAUUUUAUGUCU
rnacentral:lncRNA from 1 species